rnacentral:rRNA from 1 species
CCUACGGGGUGCAGCAGUGGGGAAUAUUGGACAAUGGGCGAAAGCCUGAUCCAGCCAUGCCGCGUGUGUGAAGAAGGCCUUCGGGUUGUAAAGCACUUUCAGUGGGGAAGAAAGCCUUGGGGCUAAUACCCUCGAGGAAGGACAUCACCCACAGAAGAAGCACCGGCUAACUCCGUGCCAGCAGCCGCGGUAAUACGGAGGGUGCGAGCGUUAAUCGGAAUUACUGGGCGUAAAGCGCGCGUAGGCGGUCUGAUAAGCCGGUUGUGAAAGCCCCGGGCUCAACCUGGGAACGGCAUCCGGAACUGUCAGGCUAGAGUGCAGGAGAGGAAGGUAGAAUUCCCGGUGUAGCGGUGAAAUGCGUAGAGAUCGGGAGGAAUACCAGAGGCGAAGGCGGCCUUCUGGACUGACACUGACGCUGAGGUGCGAAAGCGUGGGUAGCAAACAGGAUUAGAUACCCCGGUAGUC